AUAAAAUUGCUUGGCUAUAUUUGGAGAGAGCUGAUGUCACAAGUGGUUUGAGCAAAGAGUUUAUAAACUGUGACAUCCUGACAAACCAUCAGACUGCUCAACAGACAGACGAGGACAAACGCUACACCCAGAAGUCAUCAGCACCAGAAACACCAUGUAUCACCUGAGAGUGCCUGUGUUUCUCCUGGCGGCGCUUGUGUUGCUCCGCUGCAUCGCAGCCGCUCCAAGCCUCAGGUACUUCAGUUCCGGCUCCUCCUCCGACAACAAGCAAGAAAAUGCUCUUCCAGACAAGGAGAGCAGGUCACUGCCUGAGCUAAUCGCCGACCCGUUCCUCGGCCUCACGGGCGCCAGGCCUGAGAGGGGGC